rnacentral:rRNA from 1 species
UACAGAGGGUGCAAACGUUGCUCGGAAUUAUUGGGCGUAAAGCGCACGUAGGCGGUUCGUUAAGUCGGAUGUGAAAGCCCCGGGCUCAACUCGGGAAGUGCAUACGAAACUGGCGAGCUUGAAUAUGGAAGAGGGUCGCGGAAUUCCCGGUGUAGAGGUGAAAUUCGUAGAUAUCGGGAGGAACACCUGCGGCGAAGGCGGGUUGCUGGGCUGACACUGACGCUGAUGUGCGAAAGCUAGGGGAGCGAACGGG